rnacentral:misc_RNA from 1 species
ACACCUCAACUCUUCAUGGUUUUCCAUGAUGAGCUUGGACUUUGGGGGUUUUGCUGGCCUGUGGUCAGCUCCUCUCAAAUGAAUCAGCUUGCCGGUUUUUGGUGGGCAUCACAGGUGUGAUAACUAUCUACGCUUGUGGUUUUCCACCAGGGUAACCUUCAGCAGUGGAGGUUCACUGGAGCUUACAAAUGUCUCUCCUCUGUGAGGACAGCCCUUUGAAU